rnacentral:snRNA from 1 species
GUUCUCCCUCCGGGAGCACACACAGUGAACUGAAUGUGCAGUGGCACAGAGAAGAUUAGCGCGGUCCCUGUGCAAGAUGACAUGUGAAUUCAUAAAAGAAUUCCAAUGUAU